ensembl:lncRNA
CACAGAUAGCUUGGCUUCUUGAAGUUUUCCUGGGCUUGGAAAAGAGAUUGCAUAUUUGAAGAUGUUGUAAUAUCCAUCCCUUUUCUCUCCUUUCAAAUUUAUUGACCUUAAUUGGAAUUACUUCUCUGGAUUGCAUGGCAUACUGGAUAGGGAGGUGGUCCUGGAGCCAGAUAAGACUUGGAUUUAAGCUCCAGUCAUCCUCAGCAAGUCCCAUAAUCUCUUGGGGCUCUGGGCAAUGCUCAAAGACUAAAAUUUCAGAGAAAGUAUCAAUCUGCAUUGAAAGAAGAAGCUUGGUCUCCCAGGAUUUUCCUAUUCUAAAGAAAUCAUAGAUUCAGUCUUUUCCCUAUUGCUGUCUUCCAGGCCUCAUCCUUUCCCUUCAAUCCCUCCCUAUCUUCUUCAUCUCCUUUUUACUCUGGGUACCUUUCUAGGUGUUCUGCUUCUUUCUGCACAAUACAUUUUCAAAGGCAUCAGACCUCCUGGACAAAAAUAAACCAGCCAGCAACUGUCAAAACAUCAAAGUUUACUUAACUCUCAGGAAGGAGAAUGUCUGUGUUUGGGUUACUCCUGGUGGAAAGUUGGAGGGGAAAGGAGGGGCUGAACUGUGGAGGACUGUUGAGCUGGCAGCCGCCAAAGAGAAUUCCUCAAGGCUAUAGGGGAAACAGGUCCUGCUGCAGCUUGCUGUCUGUCCUGCAUUGCCAACCCUCCAGGGAGAAGUCUCCAAUUGCUGCAGAUGUUCCUGCCAAAAGAUGUUUCCUGAGUACCAGAAAGCAUCAGAAUUCUUAAAAUGUAGAGAGACCUCAGUUGCGAGCUGAGGACCUAAAAACCAGUGUCAAAGUGAGCAGGAAAAAGAAACUGCAGCAGGAAGGAAGAAACAAUUUAACAUCUUAAGAAACAUGAAACUUUGCACCUCAAACUGGAAAAAUGGACAAGAUGAUUUUCUUCCUUACUAACUGUGUUUUUUCAGUUAUGAAUAGCCUUUGGCCCUUAACAAAAUGGAAAUAUAUAUAAUCAUAGUGGCCUUCAUUUUUUGUUGAUUGUAUUUUUCCUUGUUUGUCUAUUAUGUUUUCUGGCACACAGCAAAGCCUUUGGAAGUCAGUUGCAAGACCCCUUGUUCCAAAAUGUUUCUAUGGCCACAUUCAAUCGCUCACCUUCACCUCUUCUCUUUUCAAUGUCAAAUACUUAUCUCUAUCACCAUGGUCACUUAGCUGACCAUACCAACCAUCACCGGAAAUUUCUCUCCAUACUGGACUUGCCUUAACCAGACAGAUUCCCCUGCACCAUAUUGUGAGAGUGAUACUUAUAGAUGGGAUGAUACUUGUGGAGGAUGUGAAAUGGGUGGAGAGGAUGGCUACUGCGAUUGAAUUACUUGAACAAAAUUCCAGUUGCUCUCCUUCUGUGACUCACAUCCACUGCAAGAUGAGCAAAAGCCCCUUUAUUCUGCUACUGUGUCUAAUAUUGAAUGAAAAGAGGCCAUUCUAGAAAGAAAAAAAAUCCUUUUACUUAAUCAAAGGAUACUUUGUUUAGGUGAGUAGAAAAGAGAAUAUCCCAAACCCCAAGAUGUUAAGGUCCAGAUAAGCCAAAAGGAAAGUGAAAAGGACUCUAAGAUGGACUCAGAAACCGAUAAUGCAUAAUUAUUUAGACAAAGCAAAGACAUAACAUCAGCAGAGAAUCCAGGAUUGUACCUGACCUUCAUAGCACCUGACCUUCAUAGGUUCAUCUGUAGAUGACAAAGAGGCAAUUGAGACAAUAAAUUUUGCCCUAUUUUUUAUUGAGGAGACA